CCAGACUCCUACGGGAGGCAGCAGUGAGGAAUAUUGGUCAAUGGCCGAAGGGCUGAACCAGCCAAGCCGCGUGAAGGAAUAAGGCCCUACGGGUCGUAAACUUCUUUAGUCAGGGAACAAAGGGAGCCACGCGUGGCGCUGUGAGUGUACCUGAAGAAUAAGCAUCGGCUAACUCCGUGCCAGCAGCCGCGGUAAUACGGAGGAUGCGAGCGUUAUCCGGAUUUAUUGGGUUUAAAGGGUGCGCAGGCGGGGUGUCAAGUCAGCGGUAAAAUGUCGGGGCUCAACCCCGGCCGGCCGUUGAAACUGGCGUGCUCGAGUUGGAGAGAAGUAUGCGGAAUUCGUGGUGUAGCGGUGAAAUGCAUAGAUAUCACGAAGAACCCCGAUUGCGAAGGCAGCAUACCGGCUCCACACUGACGCUGAGGCACGAAAGCGUGGGUAUCGAACAGGAUUAGAUACCCGCGUA
rnacentral:rRNA from 1 species